GACGAACGCUGGCGGCGUGCUUAACACAUGCAAGUCGAACGGAAAGGCCUGCUUUCCCUUGUGGAUUGCGGGUACUCGAGUGGCGAACGGGUGAGUAACACGUGAGUGAUCUGCCCCCAACUUGGGUAUAAGCCUGGGAAACUGGGUCUAAUUCCCGAUAGGACUGCAGGGUGGUGCCUGUGGUGGAAAACGAUUUUCUAGUGGUUGGGGAUGAGCUCGCGGCCUAUCAGCUUGUUGGUGGGGUAAUGGCCUACCAAGGCGGCGACGGGUAGCCGGCCUGAGAGGGUGGACGGCCCCAUUGGGACUGAGAUACGGCCCAGACUCCUACGGGAGGCAGCAGUGGGGAAUAUUGCACAAUGGGCGGAAGCCUGAUGCAGCGACGCCGCGUGGGGGAUGCCGGCCUUCGGGUUGUAAACUCCUUUCGACCGCGAGGAAGCCACCUGGUUGGAAGGGUGGUGACGGUAGUGGUAGAAGAAGCACCGGCUAACUACGUG
rnacentral:rRNA from 1 species